ACACUUAACAGAUGAAAUGGAAUUUGAAUGAAAAUUUCAAUGAAUGUUAAACUUACAAUGACAGACAUUAAUAAACAAAAUGUCUGUCUUCAGAUUAUUUUAGGUAUUUUCACAGCAACAGAAUCCAGCACAAUGUGUGGUGAUAGAUGCUCUGCAGACUUAUACCGGCAUAACAAUGGGUCAUGCUUAGACUGCCCACUUGGGACGUUUGGUUUAAACUGCAGUGCAUCAUGUAAGGAAGGAUUCUAUGGGAGACUGUGUAGAUCGGAAUGCAACUGUUCUACAGAAGAUUGUGAUAAAGAAUAUGGUUGUAAGAAGAAGAAAU